rnacentral:rRNA from 1 species
UACGUAGGGCGCAAGCGUUGUCCGGAAUUAUUGGGCGUAAAGAGCUCGUAGGCGGCCUGUUGCGUCCGCUGUGAAAUCCCGGGGCUCAACCCCGGGCCUGCAGUGGAUACGGGCUGGCUAGAGGCAGGCAGGGGAGAACGGAAUUCCUGGUGUAGCGGUGAAAUUCGUAGAUAUCGGGAGGAACACCAGUGGCGAAGGCGGCGAUCUGGGAAGAUACUGACGCUGAGGUGCGAAAGCGUGGGGAGCAAACAGG